CAGUAGCGUAUACUAAAGUUGUUGCAGUUAAAAAGCUCGUAGUUGAAUUUCUGUGUAGUGUACUUGCGGUCUCCGGACCAAUAUAUACUGCACAUCCAUCUGAACAGCACUUCUUGUCAUUCAUUUGUCGGUUGUGUGAUCAGAUACUUUACCUUGAGAAAAAUAGAGUGUUCCAAGCAGGCGUCCGCCUGAAUAAUAAAGCAUGGAAUAAUACAAUAGGACUGGGUUCUAUUGGUGCAUAGAACUUAGUAAUGAUUAAUAGGGACAGUUGGGGGCAUUUGUAUUUAAUUGUCAGAGGUGAAAUUCUUUGAUUUAUUAAAGACAAACCUAUGCGAAAGCAUUUGCCAAGGAUGUUUUCAUUA
rnacentral:rRNA from 1 species